ensembl:lncRNA
GUGUUAACGAGCGCCGUAUGUCAGGUUCUUCAUCAGAUCUCCACGUGUUUCGACUGAAAUGUUCUCCGUGUCUCCACUCGCAGUGAAGUCCCCCAGUCUCAUGAACAACAGGAGUACAAACUUUCCACAGCAAACAUGUCUUGACUGAUCAAUGAGAUGGUGUUUAUUUCAUUUCUGACUGAACUGCUCCAUUUGCAACCAUGAAUUCCUGAAGCACAAAAGGCUCGGAUGUCAAUCCGAUUUGCAAACCAAAGCUGGACUAUUCACCGCUUCACACUGAAGGACAUUCACACUCAAGGCCAGAGCACAGAGAGCAGGAUGAGGCGUCGGAAGUGGACCUUACGGAGAAGACGUGAAAGGAG